UGGGGAAUAUUGCACAAUGGAGGGAACUCUGAUGCAGCGACGCCGCGUGAACGAAGAAGGCUUUCGAGUCGUAAAGUUCUUUUAUAUGGGAAGAUAAUGACGGUACCAUAAGAAGAAGCCCCGGCUAACUACGUGCCAGCAGCCGCGGUAAUACGUAGGGGGCUAGCGUUGUCCGGAAUCACUGGGCGUAAAGGGUUCGCAGGCGGAAAUGCAAGUCAGGUGUAAAAGGCAGUAGCUUAACUACUGUAAGCAUUUGAAACUGCAUAUCUUGAGAAGAGUAGAGGUAAGUGGGAUUUUUAGUGUAGCGGUGAAAUGCGUAGAUAUUAAAAAGAAUACCGGUGGCGAAGGCGACUUACUGGGCUCAUUCUGACGCUGAGGAACGAAAGCGUGGGUAGCAAACAGG
rnacentral:rRNA from 1 species